ensembl:snRNA U6 U6 spliceosomal RNA
GUGCUCCCUUGGGCAGCACAUAUGAUAAAAUUGGAACGAUGCAGAGAAGAUUAGCAUGGCCCCUGUGCAAGGAUGACACACAGAUUCGUGAAGCUUCCACAUUUUUG